rnacentral:ncRNA from 23 species
GAAAUAGAUGCGCCGUCAGGUGCCCGCCGGUAAGGCGGGAGAAUCGGGAAUCCGGUGCAAGACCGGAACGUGCCCAACGCUGUAAGGCCGACGUUUGCCGCUUCAUCACGCCACUGGCUUUUCGCCGGGAAGGCUGCGGCAGACGGAUGACGCCCAGUCAGAAGACCGGCCUGGCAAGAUAGACCGAUC